CGAUGACUGGCAUCCGCGGAAGCCCAAGGAGGAGUCCGCCGCGAGCACAGAAUGUCAAAAGUGAAAGCGGCAACACGAAAAAGAGCCCAUACGGCGGCUUGGAUACUGCAGAUCGUAGCCCUUCGGCUUUCAGCAAGUAUCAGUGGAGAAACGAAGCACAAACUCAUUCAGUGACUCUCUUAAUUAAGGUCCACGUAAUUAGUAAGAACCAAGAUUUCAUUGUUGCCAGAAGUUUCAUAUACCAGAGCGUAUUCUAGGUUACACAGAGCGCCCUCAACAUACGUAAUGGUUUUGAGAAGAAAUAGUGAAAAGUCAGGAUACCUCCCCAACCACACAUGCACAGAAAAGCUCCUUGGAGGCCAAAGGGGAGUCAUGUCAAGGAAUGUUCUACUCAGAUGCCUUUUCAGUAAAAUUCAACUUGGCUAAGAGAUGGAUGAGCACACAUAGGAGGAUCCUGAG
ensembl:lncRNA